UGGAAACGGUAGCUAAUACCGCAUAACGUCGCAAGACCAAAGAGGGGGACCUUCGGGCCUCUUGCCAUCAAAUGUGCCCAGAUGGGAUUAGCUAGUAGGUGGGGUAAUGGCUCACCUAGGCGACGAUCCCUAGCUGGUCUGAGAGGAUGACCAGCCACACUGGAACUGAGACACGGUCCAGACUCCUACGGGAGGCAGCAGUGGGGAAUAUUGCACAAUGGGCGCAAGCCUGAUG
rnacentral:rRNA from 1 species